rnacentral:rRNA from 1 species
GACGAACGCUGGCGGCGCGCUUAACACAUGCAAGUCGAACGGAAAGGCCUGCUUUCCCUUGUGGAUUGCGGGUACUCGAGUGGCGAACGGGUGAGUAACACGUGAGUGAUCUGCCCCCAACUUGGGUAUAAGCCUGGGAAACUGGGUCUAAUUCCCGAUAGGACUGCAGGGUGGUGCCUGUGGUGGAAAACGAUUUUCUAGUGGUUGGGGAUGAGCUCGCGGCCUAUCAGCUUGUUGGUGGGGUAAUGGCCUACCAAGGCGGCGACGGGUAGCCGGCCUGAGAGGGUGGACGGCCACAUUGGGACUGAGAUACGGCCCAGACUCCUACGGGAGGCAGCAGUGGGGAAUAUUGCACAAUGGGCGGAAGCCUGAUGCAGCGACGCAGCGUGGGGGAUGACGGCCUUCGGGUUGUAAACUCCUUUCGACCGCGAGGAAGCCACCUGGUUGGAAGGGUGGUGACGGUAGUGGUAGAAGAAGCACCGGCUAACUACGUG